GGAGUAUACAUAAUCUAUGAACCAGUAAAGCCGCGUCUUAAAAUCUAAAUUCGAUAAUAAGUGUUUUUCAGAAGUCAAAUGACAGAUUUCUUUGACAAAUCUAACCACUCACCAUAUUGGAUUGUCUCGAAAAUAAAUUGCCAAGACUUACAUUGACUUCUCCGACAUCAGCGAAGGACCGCAAGAAUAUUGAAGCAUUUUUUAUGUCACAAUUAUUAAAAACCGUGCACCUGGACUUGCACUCUGUCACUGUGCAGAACUAUGUUUUUACUGAGGGACAUGAAAUGGGAGCUGGUGUUCAAUCCCUUUUUUCAUCCAAAAUAUCGUCUGAAUGCCAGACAAUUGAACCAAUCAUUUGCCAAAUUCCAUUCUCAACAGUAACAUUGCUCUUACAAAUGGUACAAAUCCCAUUCUUAGUGAUCCAAUUUCAAAUUUCCCAGUGAGAAUAUAUGCUACAUACGUAUAUACCCAUUUUAUUGACCCCUUCAUGCACGAGUCUCAUUACUGAUACUACAUACCGGCCACGGAACUGUCUUCUUAAUUAUUAUUGUAGCUGCAUGUGUAUAGUGAAUGUUUUCUUCACUCAAAUGCAUAAUUUAGUGGUGAAAAAAUAUGUUUGAUCUAUAUUAUAAUUCAUAUGUUAAGCAUGCCCAUAUGAGUCCGUAGCGAAAUGAGGCAGGUAAUAAUAACUAUAAUAGUAUAACCUAGGGUAUAAUAAUAAUUACUGAACUAUCACACUGUUGUUGUGGAUUAUAUUGAGAAUAAAUUUAUCGCCGUAAAUCUCCAACUGUUCUAACACCAGUACUGCAGUAGGUGACAAAGCCGCUGGAGAUAUUCAAAUUGAUGAUAACGAUUAUAUAAGUGGUUAUAUACAAACACGGUUAAUAGGUAUAUUAAUUGUGAUACAACUUUCUAGCACGCUGAGUUUUAAAUCCGAAAAGUUCCCACUCCGUUGACCCGCAGUUUUCUCACAAAAUGCGAUUUUAUCUUCAAUAAUUAAUUUCACGACAUACUUUUCAUUGUUCCGAUCGGACCGAUUAUGUCACUCAAAAGGACCAGUUUCUAUUAACCAGUCUUCCUUUUACCAAAAGACCGGUUUUAAUUUGCUCGAAUCAUUUUGAGUUAUGCAAUCUAAUGCGUGCUGGACGUAAACAACAUUAUAUCUUGUCUACAACUUUGAGAAAGUACAGAUAACGCUUUCUAAUAUCC